GCAUAAUACCUGAACGAAAGACCAUUUCUCCACCCAACCCUGUUUUUCCCCCCAGGACCCCCCAAGAGGCUCCCCUUCACGAGUUCCGAUUAGCACGCCUCUUGAUGAAGACGGCUGCCCUGGGAUGUAAUUAACACCGCACAGCCAUCCGUCUAUCUUUGCCCCCGCCGUUGCCAUGGCGAUGCCCAUUCCACGCAACCGCUGGAUGCAUUGUCAUGGUCCUUAGAAGUUUUCGGGUUUUGUCUUUUUUUAAUGAAGUGUCGGGAAUAAUUGCUUUCUCCUGGACUGGGCCCCAGGAGGCUGGGGGGAAAAACACGGUUAUAAAUAAAUACAUGUAAAGAGUGGCUCCGCGUGAGCACCAGCAUCACUCCGGAGGAGUUCAGGAAGGCUGAGAGGACCUCUUCACAUCUCCCCGCUCUUGAAGAGGCAACCUGCAGAGAGACUGAUGAGGAACCGGAAUUAAAACCUGGCAGGGAGAUGGAGCUCCCCUCUUGAUGUUUUUUCUCUCUCUCCUCCAACUGAUGCUCCUUUUCUUCCACUCUCAGAUGCAAAUGGAAGAUUGCUAACUGGUUGUGGUCUUGUCUCUUGUCAAUGCCACUGUAAACGAGAGACACACGAGAAACGAGAAACAUCUGUGGGCCACAUGAUGUGCAAGGAUCACAGUUGCAACAGGGACAGGAUUGGACAGGAAUCAGCAGUGUGAAGCAGCAGCUCAAAAACCCAAUGCAAUAGAUGGAGGCUGCAUCACCGCCACAUAGAGGCAAGGAGCCUCUCAAGAAGGAGCUCACAGGUUCUGAAGUUUAUAAAAUACUAGCUUUGCCCGGCCACGUGUUGCUGUGGCUCAUGGGAAUCGUUUGUUGGCCAGGUGGAAUAGCAGUGAAUAGCCAUGCAGUCUCAAAGCCUGGCCGUUUUCUGGAGUAGCUGGAGCUGUUUGUUGUAUGAACGUAGAGGCAUGGAUGAGGGGUUGUGCUGCCAAGUUUAGUGUUUCUGGGAUGUGUAGUUUUGUUGUUUUGUCCUAGGCCAAUUUUUUUUUUUAUCCUUUUAAAUAUAUAGAUCAAUGAUAUUUCCAAAUCAAGAUAAAUAUGAUGGUGAUUGUACAAGAACAGCUGAGGGAGCUCUUGAGAGGAACAGAUUGUUAGGGAUUCCUCUUCUUCAGAAGAGGAAGGGGAGCAGGAAAGUAUUCAUGAGUCAGAGGGGCAGUCGGAAUCUGAGGAGGAGAUUUUGCAAGUACAGUAGUCUCACUUAUCCAACACUCGCUUAUCCAACGUUCUCAAUUAUCCAACGCAUUUUUGUAGUCAAUGUUUUCAAUAUAUUGUGAUAUUUUGGUGCUAAAUUCAUAAAUACAAUAAUUACUACAUAGCAUUACUGCGUAUUGAACUACUUUUUCUGCCAAAUUUGUUGUCUAACAUGAUGUUUUGGUGCUUCAUUUGUAAAAUCAUAACCUAAUUUGAUGUUUAAUAGGCUUUUCCUUAAUGCCUCCUUAUUAUCCAACAUAUUCGCUUAUCCAACAUUCUGCCGGCCCGUUUAUGUUGGAUAAGUGAGACUCUACUAUACCCACAUUUCAGGAAAGGCGAAAGGAAACAGAGCAGAGAAUAGCUGCCAGAAAUGCAGCUGAGUAAUUGGGAACUGCCCUAGCUGCUGUGGAGGAAUUCAGGGCUAUAAAUCAGAAGCAGGUGCAGUCAGCUUUUGCUGGUAUCAAACUGACUCUAAUGCCUAAGCCUUCGCUCCCCUUGUGCCUGCUUCAGGUCUGCAUCUGGGAAACUGCUCCUAAGGAUUUAUUUCUGUUUCUUUGUCUGAAGUAAGGCUGCUACUUGAUUUGGGAAUUUAUCAGACUUAAGAGCUGUGCUUGCCCUAAGACUUCCUUGCUUUCUUUUGCAUUAUACCACUGAGUGUGCUGUUCUUUAUGUUUUGCUGAAGUAAAGCAGUUUUCAUUUACUUACCACAUUGUUUUAAGGCUGUUCUUGAAAGACAAAACAGGACACAGAUAUUGAAUAAAUGUUGGAGGUUGUAGAUAUAAAUAAAUAGAAACUUUACCACAGUUUCUGAAUUGAAAUAUACUUCGCAGUAUAAUAAAGUGUCACCCAGGUUUAUGUAACAAGUCAUGAUAUGUCCAAGUGGAAACUAUAAGUUACUGCAGUUUUGCUUUGCUUUAUAAAGGGAAUGACAAUAUUAAUAUGAAAAAUGCCUCUUAAUCCAAAUGUUAACAUAUAUUCUGUUUUACAUACAAAUUCAACUUAAGAACAAUCCUACAGAACCUAUCUUGUUGGUAGCUUGGGAACUGCCUGUGUUUCUUCAGCUCCAGAAACUCGGAUACAAUAGAGCAAUGGGUUCAAACUACAGGGAAAGAGACUCCACCUCAACACCAGGUAGACUGUACUGAUGGCAAGAACAUUUGACGGGAAAGUGGGGUUUAUGAGUGUGGUGGAGAGUCAUUUUUUCGGGGCUUUAAAGCAGAGACUGAAUGGCCAUCUGUCCAAAGUGCUUUGAUUGUGUCUUCCUGCAUAUCAGAGGGUUGGAAUAGAUGGCCUUUAUGAUUUCUUUUUAUUUAUUUACAUCAUUUCUAUCCCAACUUUCUCACCCGAGGGGACUCUUCCAACUGUAUGAUUAUGAUCUCUUCCAACUUUAUGAUUCUAUGAAAGCUGGCAAUCUAACUUCAGUUUAAAGACUUACAGAGAAAGAGAGUCCACCACUCUCCAAGACAUUUCUGUUCCAUUGUUCAACAGCUCUUACAUCAAAGAAGCUCUUCCCAAUGUUUAGGUGGAAUCUAUUUCAUUUUUAUUUAAAUCCAUUGGUGCGUAUUAUAAUCUUUGAAGCAGAAGAGAACAAGUUUGCUCAAUCUUCUACAAGUCAGCUAUCCCGUCACCUCAAAAUAUCCUCCAAGUUUAACACAUCCUAAGUUGUUUCUCAGAAAGCUUGAUUUUCAAAUGUUUUACUUCUUUGAUCACCCUUCUCUAGACACCUUCCAGCUUGUCCAUAUCCUGCUAGAAUUCUGGAGCCCAGAACUAGAAACAGGGAUAUUUCAGGUUGCCACCGAAAAUGGUCUGCUGAGAUAUUCCCAAGCAUGCCUUGCAGACGCGCAAGUAUUAAAGGAAGGCUCAUUAUGCUGACUUAAUUUAAGACACUAGCGCAUUUUCAAGGCACACAAGGCUUAUCUAACGGCUACAAACCAGAGCUAUUUGUAACCGUUAAAGACAUAAUCAAAGGGGGACUAACUUAAAUGUGAGGAGAGAGAACAAAAAGCAUUUAUAAGAUCUAUUAAAAAAGAGCAAGAAGAAAAGAACUCUAUAAUUCACUGCUUGUUAUUUAUUUAUUCCCGGCACGACAGGUCUUGCCAUUAAACUAGCUGGAGGAAAAGCCUGUUCCAUCUUUGGGCUUCUGUGUGAAGUCCUCAUGUUGUAUUUUGUAUAUAUUACUUUUCAUUACUGCCACUAACCAUUUCUUACUCUUCAUUUUUGUCAUGUGCUUUAUCUCACUUACUUCCAAAUAAAUAUAAGUAAAAUCAGAAAGGGAACAUUCCUAGGAUAGUUCCCUAAGAAGUACAGCUUUGAUUUGCCUACAUCUGACCCUGCCUUUGAGGGCAUUAUCUUCAUCAUGAGCAGCCCUUGGGGACAUCAGCUUCUCUAUGAGGUCAGUGGUUCCCUUGAGACAUGGCAAGAACACUUUUCCUCUAGGUCAGUGGUUCUCAACCUGUGGUAACAUAGCAGCUCUUGAAUAUUUUCUUUAAAAACCCUGAAUAUCCCUUACCUAGAUGACCCUUACUCAAAAUCUUGUUUUUCCAUGAAAGUGUUGACAGGACAUGUUCUGCCUGACAUUUGUUUUUUGCUCACAAUGUAAGGUCAUGCAAACCGCAGUAACGAUUUGGCUUGCUGGAUAAUGCAUACGUGAGAUGAGCUAUGAACAUGUCAACUGAGGAUAGUGCAUACGUGGAACAAACUAUGGAUACUUCACCUGGUGUGAUGAGUAAUGAGUUAUAUAAGUUACAAGGCAACUAUGCAUGUCCAAAAGGAUUAUAAUGAAAUGGCAGACAAAGGUUUGAGGAAAUGAGACAAAGAGAGUUCCGGUGGCUGUAGAAAAAAUGACGUUUAUUCUCAGUGACCAGUGAGAAUAUAGCAAUAAGAAAAAGGAGACCUUCUCCUGUAAUCAGGAAAGCGAAGGUGGCAGACAAAGAAACACAGAUCCUUAUAUACUAUUUUGGUCUACCUCCAUCUAUGUCACAUAGGUAUUAUCAAUCACCAAUUAGUGUCAAAAAAGUCUUACUUGGCACUUAACUAAAAGCUAUCUUUGCAUUUUCCUAAAAUAUAGACUAAUUCAAGACCUCUGACCCUCCAUUAGCCUGAUCUCUGGAAUUCUCAUCUCAUCCAUUAGGACUCCCCCUCGUCCUCCAUUAAUUAAGGAAUUUCCUCCCUACCUUAGCUUGUCAGAGAGAGUAAUUAGUAUUCCCCCCUGGCGCCAGGUCCUAUCUUGACAUCCCAAAAAGCUUUAAUUUGUCUUUUGUCCAUUAGCUUAUCUACUCUUGUUGAUACUUAACAUACGUCCCUGGCACUCAGGGUGAACUUUGGUCUUGCUUUUGCUGAGCAGAGUGUAUUUUUGGGCUAUAGGCCUACAAUUCUGCUUAUGAUUACAUUUUCCUAUUUCUAUUUCUUAACAUGAUUACAUUCAAUAUAUAGUUUCCAAUACAAGUAUUAUAUUUUCCCAAUAAACCUUCAUCAAUAAUAGUCAGCAAAUUCCAUUGUCAGUUAGCUUUUUGCACAUGCUUGUGUAAAAUUGUAUAAAUUGGAAAGCCACUACAAGCAAGGUGUGGCAUUGUUUUUUCUGGACAUUAGCAAACAUUGUCACCUGUUCCUGGCCAAAAGUAAACUAUCUUGAAGACAA